rnacentral:rRNA from 1 species
GGUGGGGAUGACGUCAAAUCAUCAUGCCCCUUAUGAUCUGGGCUACACACGUGCUACAAUGGUCGGUACAACGGGCAGCGAAAGAGUAAUCUGGAGCGAAUCCUAAAAAGCCGAUCCCAGUUCGGAUUGUGGGCUGAAACUCGCCCACAUGAAGUUGGAGUUGCUAGUAAUCGCGAAUCAGAAUGUCGCGGUGAAUGCGUUCCCGGGUCUU